rnacentral:lncRNA from 1 species
GCAGUUGGUAGUGGUGAUGGUUAGCGGUGGUGGUCGUGGGUGCCAACUAGGUGGUAUUGGCUAAUGGUGAUGUUGUGGAUAGCAACUAGUAGUGAUUGUGAUGGUUGUCAGUAGUGGUUGAGGGUGGCAGCUAAUAGUUAAUAGCUAAUGAUGGUGGUGAAUGAUAAUGGUGGUUUGAUAAUAUAUAAUAGUGACUAUUGUUGGUGAUUGUCAAUAGUGAUUGGUGGUUAUUGUGGCAUUAAUGGUUGGUGGUGAUGAUUGUAAUGGUGAUUAGUGGUGGUAAUAGUUGAUUGUAGUGAUUGUCGGGGUUGUGGUUGUUGCUGAAGAUGGUGGUGGUAGGUGGUUGGUGUUGAUAAUGGUGGGUUACAACAAUGGUAGUUGAUAAUGUUGGGUGACGGCGGUAGCAGUGAAUGGGUGGAAUUGGUGAACUAAUUUAUGUAGAAAUCUUUCAGUAAACAUUUUAGAGUAAAGACAUAAAAGCACAACUGAAGUUGUUUCAAAUUUUCAUAAAGACACCUUAACUUUGAGGGCGUCCUAUUACCCCACAAAAGUAUUGAAUAUCUUUGUAAAAGGACCAUUUUUGACCCAUUUUCUCUACUGUGAACAGGCGCGUGGUGCUCACUUUUUUUAUUAAUUUAAUUUAAAUUAAUUUCUUCAAAUCCGACCCGACCCGACCCAAAUCAUUUCAAAAAGAAAACUCUUGUUCUCCAUUUUUCAUUUCUUAGUUUCUCUCAUCAUUUUCUUCAAUCAUAGGCAUUGUUGAAGAUCAUCUCCUACAAUUUUGAUGUUUGUUGGUCAAAUUUCUUGGAGAACUAGCGGAGUAAACAAUGAAUUGAAGAUUAACAGGUUAGAAUAGUAACAAUAGCAAAUCGUUUCAGCUGCAAACUAAAUCCCUCAUCAACAUGUAUAUCGGAAAAGCUGCUUGUGGUUUCAAUGGCGAAGAAUAAUUCGUUGAAAUCGAUAGUAGUGGUAUUUGGAGCCAUGUCUUUUGAGUGGCUGGCGAUUGGGCUUGUUUUCAAACCAUGGAUUGAUAAUACCCGAGCUUCAAUGGACAAGUCUCGGAAACAUCUUGCGACCUCGCCGCCGUCGCCGCCGAUCAAAGUUCAGAAGCUGGCAUGUCUCAGGUCGAUGUUGAUCCUCCCCGAAAAAACAACUGAUUUGACAGUUUGGUUUGAUUUUUGGGUUCUCAAAACUACAUGAAAUUAAGAAGAAAUGAAACCUCGGACAACUUUAAAUUAGCUUUUUCGAUUGGAAUUAAAACGAAUUCCUACCUUAUUGAGUUGAUUUCAUCAUUUCAUCAUAGAGUACCUAUGACUCUUUUGUUGGGGAAGAUGAUGAAUUUGAAUGGAGUAAAUAAUUAAUAAAGAAAAUAACUUAAAUGUGGCAGCUUUUAAUGGUUUUUGGCAUUAAAAACGGACCUUCACGCGCAUCAUGUGCGUGUUCACAAACAUAAUGAGAAAAUGGGUCAAAAUGGUCCUUUUACAAAAAUAUUCAAUACUUUUGUGGGGUGAUAGGACAUCCUCAAAGUUAAGAUGUCUUUUUGAAAAUUCGAAACAACUUCAGUUGUGCUUUUAUGUCUUUACUCAGACAUUUUAAUGAUAUUAAACUUUUGUUACGUAUCUUAAUCAUUCGGAUUUAUUCAGACCAAUUAAGUGGUUGAAACAUAAAAUAAACACUUAAUGAAUAAGAUUCAAAUGUAAAAACCAAACAGAGUUAAUAACUUAGAUCUGAAUGAUUAAGAUAAAGACCUCCGUUAAGUGCAAACGCCUUAG